GUCUGGGUAGUGUAGAGGUAUAAGCACUGGGCUACCACCGCAGAGACCCGAGACCCGGGUUCGAGACCCGGUUCAACU
rnacentral:tRNA from 1 species